rnacentral:rRNA from 1 species
CCUACGGGAGGCAGCAGUGGGGAAUAUUGCACAAUGGGGGAAACCCUGAUGCAGCGACGCCGCGUGAGUGAAGAAGUAUUUCGGUAUGUAAAGCUCUAUCAGCAGGGAAGAAAAUGACGGUACCUGAUUAAGAAGCCCCGGCUAACUACGUGCCAGCAGCCGCGGUAAUACGUAGGGGGCAAGCGUUCUCCGGAUUUACUGGGUGUAAAGGGAGCGUAGGCGGCAGCACAAGUCUGAAGUGAAAUGCCGGGGCUUAACCCCGGAACUGCUUUGGAAACUGUGGAGCUUGAGUGCAGGAGAGGUAAGUGGAAUUCCUGGUGUAGCGGUGAAAUGCGUAGAUAUUAGGAGGAACACCAGUGGCGAAGGCGGCUUACUGGACUGUAACUGACGUUGAGGCUCGAAAGCGUGGGGAGCAAACAGGAUUAGAUACCCUGGUAGUC